AUUGAACGCUGGCGGCAGGCCUAACACAUGCAAGUCGAGCGGAUGAAGGGAGCUUGCUCCUGGAUUCAGCGGCGGACGGGUGAGUAAUGCCUAGGAAUCUGCCUGGUAGUGGGGGAUAACGUCCGGAAACGGGCGCUAAUACCGCAUACGUCCUGAGGGAGAAAGUGGGGGAUCUUCGGACCUCACGCUAUCAGAUGAGCCUAGGUCGGAUUAGCUAGUUGGUGGGGUAAAGGCCUAUCAAGGCGACGAUCCGUAACUGGUCUGAGAGGAUGAUCAGUCACACUGGAACGGAGACACGGUCCAGACUACUACGGGAGGCAGCAGUGGGGAAUAUUGGACAAUGGGCGAAAGCCUGAUCCAGCCAUGCCGCGUGUGUGAAGAAGGUCUUCGGAUUGUAAAGCACUUUAAGUUGGGAGGAAGGGCAGUAAGUUAAUACCUUGCUGUUUUGACGUUACCAACAGAAUAAGCACCGGCUAACUUCGUG
rnacentral:rRNA from 1 species